UACGGGGGGAGCAAGCGUUGUUCGGAUUUACUGGGCGUAAAGGGCGCGUAGGCGGUCAGCACAAGUCAGUUGUGAAAUCUCCGGGCUUAACUCGGAAAGGUCAACUGAUACUGUGCGACUAGAGUGCGGAAGGGGCAACUGGAAUUCUCGGUGUAGCGGUGAAAUGCGUAGAUAUCGAGAGGAACACCAGUGGCGAAGGCGGCUUACUGGUCCGGUUCUGACGCUGAGGCGCGAAAGCGUGGGGAGCAAACAGG
rnacentral:rRNA from 1 species